rnacentral:rRNA from 1 species
CCUACGGGGGGCAGCAGUGAGGAAUAUUGGUCAAUGGGCGCAAGCCUGAACCAGCCAAGUCGCGUGAGGGAAGACGGCCCUACGGGUUGUAAACCUCUUUUGCCGGGGAGCAAGCCUGAGCACGUGUGCCCAGGCGGAGAGUUCCCGGAGAAAAAGCAUCGGCUAACUCCGUGCCAGCAGCCGCGGUAAUACGGAGGAUCCGAGCGUUAUUCGGAUUUAUUGGGUUUAAGGGGUGCGUAGGCGGAUUUUUAAGUCAGCGGUAAAAUGUCCGGGCUCAACCCGGGCCGGCCGUUGAAACUGGGGAU